rnacentral:rRNA from 1 species
UUGAUCCUGGCUCAGGAUGAACGCUGGCGGUCUGCUUAACACAUGCAAGUCGAACGGACUCUUCGGAGUUAGUGGCGGACGGGUGAGUAACGCGUGAGAAUCUGCCUUCAGGUCUGGGACAACAGAAGGAAACUUCUGCUAAUCCCGGAUGAGCCUUAGGGUAAAAGAUAAAUUGCCUGGAGAUGAGCUCGCGUCUGAUUAGCUAGUUGGUGUGGUAAAAGCAUACCAAGGCAACGAUCAGUAGCUGGUCUGAGAGGAUGAGCAGCCACACUGGGACUGAGACACGGCCCAGACUCCUACGGGAGGCAGCAGUGGGGAAUUUUCCGCAAUGGGCGAAAGCCUGACGGAGCAAGACCGCGUGGGGGAGGAAGGCUCUAGGGUUGUAAACCCCUUUUCUUUGGGAAGAAGAUCUGACGGUACCAAAGGAAUCAGCCUCGGCUAACUCCGUGCCAGCAGCCGCGGUAAUACGGAGGAGGCAAGCGUUAUCCGGAAUGAUUGGGCGUAAAGCGUCCGUAGAUGGCCAUGUAAGUCUGCUGUCAAAACCCAGGGCUCAACUCUGGUCAGGCAGUGGAAACUACAAAGCUAGAGUUAGGUAGGGGCCAAGGGAAUUCCCGGUGUAGCGGGUGAAAUGCGUAGAUAUCGGGAAGAACAUCGGUGGCGAAAGCGCUUUGCUAGACCAAAACUGACAUUGAGGGACGAAAGCUAGGGGAGCGAAUGGGAUUAGAUACCCCAGUAGUCCUAGCCGUAAACGAUGGAUACUAGGUGUUGCCUGUAUCGACCCAGGCAGUGCCGUAGCUAACGCGUUAAGUAUCCCGCCUGGGGAGUACGCACGCAAGUGUGAAACUCAAAGGAAUUGACGGGGGCCCGCACAAGCGGUGGAGUAUGUGGUUUAAUUCGAUGCAACGCGAAGAACCUUACCAGGACUUGACAUGUCGC